AUGGCUCAUCACACCCCACCUGAAGCAGGACAACCAUUGCAUAGGCUUGGGCACUAGCACAAACACCAGUCACCUGCUGGAGGAAGAGGUCUGGACACUGUAGUGGCCUCCCUGUGUAUGUUAACCCUAUAGCACUCUACCUGGUCUUCUGGCAGUUCAAGGUCUUUGAAGGGUCCCUGAUCAAGCUUACCUUGAGACACACUCAUGGUUUUCUGAACUUUGACAGCCCAGCAUUAACAGAAGCAUCCAAACUCACAUUCAAUGUUAUUCACUUUGAUCUGGAGAACCGAUAGACCCUGAGGCUAGAGUUUGCCAAAGCCAACAGCAAGAUAGCAAAGAGCAAACUAAUAGUGACACCAAAUCCCACCAAUGUCCACCCUGCCCUAGGAGCACACUUGAUCACAAGGGACUCUUAUGACCUUAUGGGAGCUGCUAUGAUUCCUGCAUCC
rnacentral:lncRNA from 1 species